AUAUUGGACAAUGGGCGCAAGCCUGAUCCAGCCAUGCCGCGUGUGUGAAGAAGGCCUUCGGGUUGUAAAGCACUUUUGUUGGGGAAGAAAAGCCAUGGGCUAAUACCCUGUGGUUCUGACGGUACCCAAAGAAUAAGCACCGGCUAACUUCGUGCCAGCAGCCGCGGUAAUACGAGAGGUGCAAGCGUUACUCGGAAUCACUGGGCGUAAAGCGCACGUAGGCGGACUCGCAGGUCAAUUGUGAAAUACCUGGGCUCAACCCGGGAACUGCAGUUGAAACCGCUUGUCUUGAAUACCUGAGAGGGUGGGGGAAUACCUGGUGGAGAAGUGAAAUUCGUAGAGAUCAGGUGGAACACCGGAGGCGAAGGCGCCUGCCUGGCAGUGUAUUGACGCUGAGGUGCGAAAGUGCGGGGAGCAAACAGG
rnacentral:rRNA from 1 species